rnacentral:rRNA from 1 species
UAAUUGUUUUCUAAGGAUUAUGUUUAAAUUUAAAAUAUUUGGCGGCUGUUUAAAUUAAAGGGAUUUGCUUAUUAUCGACACACCUCGUUUUUUAUUAUUUAAUUUUAUUUUUGUAUACCGUCAUCUAGAUAAUUUUUAUAUAAUUAAUUGUGAAAAUAAUGUUCUGUAAAUUAGAUCAAGGUGCAGAUAUGAUUAAUAUUGAGUUAAUGACAAUAAUUUAUUAUUAUACAGAAUUUGUUUAAUUAGUUGAAAAUAGGAGGAUUUAAGUGUAAUAGAAAGGGUUGAAAUUAAAU